rnacentral:lncRNA from 1 species
GUGCAUAUAAUGCAUCUUUUAAAAUUAAAAAUCUACCAUUACCAAGUGAAAUAAUAAUAUUUCCUAAUGCUAAAUCUGGAGUUGUUGAAACAUCAACCUGAAAAACACAAAUUUCUCCUCUAUUCAGCUUGUACGUUUCUUGAAAACCCUGCAAAAGUAGUGAAGAUUGAUCAGUGACUCUUGAAUCUACACACCAUGAUAUGGUAGAAACAACCGCUAAACACGUUUCAACGACAAGGGUAAGUGAAUCUAGCUUGUUUUUCUUCUUGGUUGGAAAAACUAAACAAUGUGUCUUACAAUAGCCUAAUAUCUUGCAAUGAAAACACUUGUUGUCAGGCUUAUUCACGUUGUCAGUUAGAGCUACAAUUUUCUUAUUAUUGUGAGUCUUUUUCUCCACCUUCAGUUUAGAAGUAGAACGUUUCUCAAGAAAAUUAUGACUCUCAAGUUUAUUUUGACAUAAAAUAAUGCUAAAGGAGGUAAAAGGAGAUAUAUUGAAUCUGAAAUUGAAAAACAUUACAAUAGAUCAUCGAUACAGUGAUAUAAAAAUUGAACGGUUAAAUUUAAACUCAUCAUAUACAUAUAUAUUUAUGCAUCUCAAAUAGACAAUCGAUGGAAUUGGAGAACUACUCAUGCAAUACACAUAUAUACUGACCGAUUAUUCAUUUCAUAAACUUUUACAGACCUAAUUCAGAUGAAGAGUAUAUUGUUAGUUUAAGAGAAAAUCUACUCUAGUUACAUUGAUUCAAUCAUAUAUUACUCAGUUUAGGAGAAUUAAUACAGAUUAUCCAACUAACGAUUAAAUACGUAAUGACUAAUACUAAAUUCAUCCGAUAGGAAGGAAGGUCUAAGUCAGCACACAAACUUAAUACUUCUUUACUAUUUAACUCAUGGUAAUUACGACAAGAACCCUUAUUACCAAAUAAUUUUAUGUUCACAUGAAACAAACCAAACUUUGAAUCAAAAUAAAGUUUUCAGAUCUCUUGUUUGUAUCAUAAUGCUUUUCCUUUUUUUCUCUUUAACAAAACAAGCACUACUUUAAGAAAAUUGAAAAAGUUUUCUUCGUCUUUUUGUGAACAUAAUAAUAAUAAUAAAUAGACAAGGAAAAACACAAAAUUUUGACAAUUUUAUUGCAUAGCUUUGGCAGUAUGCCUUUUUUUUUAUUUAUUUGAAAAAGUGAAACUUAAUACAGUAACAAUUAGCAAAUAAUGGGUUAAAACCCUCCGGCAGCCACCAUUAUAUUCGUCGCCAAAUUGUUCACAACAACCGUCACUCACCUUUUUUUUUCUUCAGUCACAAAUAUUAAUUUCUCGAACAAAUUUUAUACUUUAAAUUACCGUAUCAUGUUCUUGAAAUUAUUAACACCGAACACAUGGACAAUAAAAUUGAACAACGCGGUUUUCUUAACUUUGAAACACACGAUUUUCAAAAAAUCUUCAAACAGAGUAUACUCCAUCGUAUAUAUCUACGUCUAUGUUUAGAUUAUCUACAAAGAUGCAAAAAGGCUCGUGAUAUUAAUUGUUGGAAAAUCAAGCACGCUGAUGUCAAUUGUUGGAAAAUCAAGCUCACAUAGCGGGAACAAAUAGACAUGAUCUCUUACAUGUAAUACAGACAAUCAACAUAAACACAUGUCUCAUGCAAAGGUUGCUUAAAAAUAAUCAGAAAUACCUCUCAAAAUAUGAGCAGAUGUCUUGAAUCGAAUCUGUCCUCGAAUCUGUGAUAUUCUACCGUGAUCCCUAAUUUACAGCCAAACUCUCUCAAUACUUAGGUGAUCUUCUACAGUGAUUGCGAUAUUCUACCGUAAUCCCAAAUUUACAGCCGAACUCUCUCAAUAUUAUUGGGUUCGAAAUCGAGAGGGCUGCAAACUAUUGAGACAAUAAAUCAGACGAAAAGAAAAACAUACUAAAAACAUGAUUAUUAUAUAGUUUGGCCAAUUGGCCUACAUAUAAAAACGUAAUAUAAAAGAAAACAUAAAACUAUUAGAGAGAAAAUUUCUCCCUAAACAAAACAAAGACAUUUAAAGACUAUAUGGUGGAUGCUAUUGUAUUGUGGUAUGAGAAGGGGGUUUUCU